rnacentral:tmRNA from 1 species
GGGGCUGACUGGAUUUGACAGCAGGUCGAGGUGUUGUGUAAGCACGCAGAGAGUUGUUAGCCGCUCUCUUUAAUCUCUGACUUUCAACAAUUUAAUUGGCGCAAACAACUACGCUCUCGCUGCCUAACCGAAGUACAGUAGGUCUGUGGCUUUAUCCCGGCACCAGGUGCCAGGACGAGACAUCGCUCAAAAGCUGUUGUUCCGAAGCGUUUGAUCAAGCGGUGCAGGAAAAUCGGAAAUAGUCUUCGGAGACGUUUCUAUCCUUAGGCGAAACCUUUAGAAACUAAGGCAUUGAUUGGUGGUCCAGGUCUUGUCAAUGCACGAAAAUGAAGGCUGGAAUAAGCGUGUAGAAAGCACAGGACGUCCCUGUUUGGACGAGGGUUCAAUCCCCUCCAGCUCCACAA